UCUUCCAAAUAAAAGAACUGUGCUAAAAUUUCCAAAACCAGGUUCUCUUGGUUUUGGUAAUAAUGCUAGCAGAGUAAAAAGUGGAAGAAGAACAUUUGCACUGUGCUGCAAAUGAGAUUUGGUCGGACCUCUUUCUUAAUGUCCAGUGUCCUAUGUCUCAAAGUCCAGUGCCACAUCU